rnacentral:misc_RNA from 1 species
GAUGAAGAACGCAGUGAAAUGCGAUAAGUAAUGUGAAUUGCAGAAUUCAGUGAAUCAUCGAAUCUUUGAACGCACAUUGCGCCCGCCAGUAUUCUGGCGGGCAUGCCUGUUCGAGCGUCAUUACAACCCUCAGGCCCCCGGGCCUGGCGUUGGGGAUCGGCGGAGCCCCCCGUGGGCACACGCCGUCCCCCAAAUACAGUGGCGGUCCCGCCGCAGCUUCCAUCGCGUAGUAGCUAACACCUCGCAACUGGAGAGCGGCGCGGCCACGCCGUAAAACACCCAACUUCUGAAUGUUGACCUCGAAUCAGGUAGGAAUACCCGCUGAACUUAAGCAUAUCAAUAAGCGGAGGA